GAUUUAGUGGAGAAUAUCUGGCAAAAGUUUAGGCAUGGGUAGAAUAAUUUGGCUUUGAAUAAUUAUGUAUUUUUUUUCUUGAGUAUGCUACUAUGGAAUCCUCAAAUAAUCGUAUGAUCCGCAUGAUAAAUAAAUUGUUUAUUGUCUAUUCUGUUUGUGUAUGUGUGUGCUUAAUUUUUUUUUGCUAGAUUAUCAUAGGACAGUUCUCAUUCCAAUAUGCACGUACAAUAUGUACACAUAUGGACUACAAAGAUAGAUUUCAUUUUAGAUCCUUAC
rnacentral:lncRNA from 1 species